rnacentral:rRNA from 1 species
UACGGAGGGUGCGAGCGUUGUCCGGAAUCACUGGGCGUAAAGCGCGCGUAGGCGGCCCGAUAAGUCUGCUGUGAAAGUCCAGGGCUCAACCCUGGAAUGCCGGUGGAUACUGUCGGGCUAGAGUUCGGAAGAGGCAAGUGGAAUUCCUGGUGUAGCGGUGGAAUGCGCAGAUAUCAGGAGGAACACCUAUAGCGAAGGCAGCUUGCUGGGACGACACUGACGCUGAGGCGCGAAAGCGUGGGGAGCGAACAGG